rnacentral:rRNA from 1 species
AGCGAACGCUGGCGGCAGGCUUAACACAUGCAAGUCGAGCGGGCCUCCUUGUGGUGUCAGCGGCAGACGGGUGAGUACCGCGUGGAAACGUGCCCUUCGGUUCGGAAUAACUAAGGGAAACUUGAGCUACUACAGGAUACGUUCGAGAGCAGAAAGGUUUAUCUGCCGAAGGAUCGGCCCGCGUCUGAUUAGCUAGUUGGUGAGGUUACGGCUCACCAAGCCGACGAUCAGUAGCUGGUCUGAGAGGAUGAUCAGCCACACUGGGACUGAGACACGGCCCAGACUCCUACGGGAGGCAGCAGUGGGGAAUAUUGGACAAUGGGGGCAACCCUGAUCCAGCCAUGCCGCGUGAGUGAUGACGGCCUUAGGGUUGUAAAGCUCUUUUCUCCGGGAUGAUAAUGACGGUACCGGAGGAAUAAGCCCCGGCUAACUUCGUG